UACAUGGGGUGCAACCGUUGCUCGGAAUUAUUGGGCGUAAAGCGCACGUAGGCGGUUUGUUAAGUCGGAUGUGAAAGCCCUGGGCUUAACCUAGGAAGUGCAUUCGAAACUCCCGAGCUUGAGUUCUGGAGAGGAAGGCGGAAUUCUCGGUGUAGAGGUGAAAUUCGUAGAUAUCGAGAGGAACACCGGUGGCGAAGGCGGCCUUCUGGACAGUGACUGACGCUGAGACGCGAAAGCGUGGGGAGCAAACAGG
rnacentral:rRNA from 1 species